AGUGAACGCUGGCGGCAGGCCUAACACAUGCAAGUCGAGCGGCAGCGCGGGGGCAACCCUGGCGGCGAGCGGCGGACGGGUGAGGAAUUCGUCGGAAUCUGCCUUUUUGUGGGGGAUAACGUAGGGAAACUUACGCUAAUACCGCAUACGUCCUACGGGAGAAAGUGGGGGACCGCAAGGCCUCACGCAGAAAGAUGAGCCGACGACCGAUUAGCUAGUUGGUGGGGUAAAGGCCCACCAAGGCGACGAUCGGUAGCUGGUCUGAGAGGAUGAUCAGCCACACUGGGACUGAGACACGGCCAGACUCCUACGGGAGGCAGCAGUGGGGAAUAUUGGACAAUGGGCGCAAGCCUGAUCCAGCCAUGCCGCGUGUGUGAAGAAGGCCUUCGGGUUGUAAAGCACUUUUGUCCGGAAAGAAAUCCCUGGAGCUAAUACCUUCGGGGGAUGACGGUACCGGAAGAAUAAGCACCGGCUAACUUCGUG
rnacentral:rRNA from 1 species